AUUUACAUACAUCCUAUUGGUCUGUUUCUCUAAAGGAGCCUGACGAAUGUGUUUUGGUUGCAAAAUUUAGGAGAUGGAGGCAGAAAGAUCUGGAGUUCAAGACCAGCUUUGGCCCAUGUGCAAGUUAGAGGGUAGCCUGGGCUACAUAAGACCCUGCCUUACCAACCAACUAAGAAAAAAAAAGAUAAGAUUAUGAAAUACAUGUGUAUACACACACUUAGACACAUACAGACACACUAGAGUCCACACUCCAAUUCCAUCCCAGCCUCAGACGGGCCCCAACCCUGCUCACCAGACUGGAAAUCUCUUGGACACUGAGCUGAGAACCCCAGUCUGUAAUGUGUUGGCAAGACUACUCCAGGUACCUCCACUGGGGGCAAAAGCCAUCUGGUCUACAUUGCCAGCCUGCCUGCUGAGUUCAUUUGGCCUUGGCCUUAGCUUUGGCUUGGUCCCGAUCCCAGGGAAUAUCAUUUGAGGUCAGCUUCUGUCUAUACUGUGUCCCUGAUCAUAUUUCGUUUUCUCUUGACAUUUAGACUUCCAUGAGUCUUGAUCACUGGCGGCCUUGGACUCUAUCUUCUUCCUGUUUUCGUCAUGAGUAUGACUGUCCUCAUAUGUCUCUGCUCUUGGCCUUGGCCUUCAGCUUGACUAAAUCUAAAUGCCUGUCUUCCUAUGUUUCCUGGAGCCAGCAGAAUGUGCAGCUCCCUGUGGAUGGCUUUCCUGUCAUCAGAUUGCAUCCUCAGUUGCUCACAUGGAUUAAACCUUCAAGACUGACCGCCUGCGAGCAACCUGGAAAUAAAAUGGCCUCUUCCAGCAAGCCUGAUGCUUCCCAUCCUGCGCUGACCCUGCAAUGUUUCCAACAUUUAUAACACCCUCUGAGGUAGGGGCAAACCAUAGAGCUUCAGAGUUUGAGGUCUGAGCACUGAGCAGACAUUGGAGGAUCCAGGAGAGGCUGGACGACCUGACAGGGCAAGACGGCUUAGUGUGUUCCCACAGAACAGCCACAAAGGAGCCUGACCAGGAGAACAUCUGAGACCCCACAAGCAAGCACUGUCCUAGAGGGGCCACCCAGCAGGAACACAGAAAACACUAGGACAAAUCAGCCUCAAGCCCGUGAGGCUGGUGUACGGGGCAGGCUCCAGCUGCAUUUCCUGUGGGAGUAAGUAGCGUCUACAGGGCACAGCGUGGCUUUCUCUGUUUUUACAGAAACUUCUUCCUGGAAAGAUUUGGAGUCUCUGUUGUUCCCACGUGUUUAUGGGAAAGGUAUACAGCCUAACCAGCCACUCCAUCCUACCUCCCCGCCCUCUCAGGAAAAAAAAAAAAAAACAUUGAUAGCAGGGAAUUGCCCGAGAGACCCUGGGCACAUGGUGGACUACAGAGGAGAACUGUAUAUGAACAUCCAUAUAGGUCCUUCUGCUCCAUGCAGGGCCCUAGGGUCUAGACACACAUGCCUGUGUUCCUGAGCCCCAGUCCUGGGCCUGCAAUGCUAACAAAGAGAGAAGAGUACAGUGUCCAGCAGAACAGAGCCUCUGCAUUGAAGGUGACCAGAGAAUGGACUGAACCCAAGGCAGUGAAGCAUCCCACCCCACCAUCUUAGGUUGGGAGAGAGCGUAUAUGGAAGA